CCUACGGGAGGCAGCAGUGGGGGAUAUUGGACAAUGGGGGGAACCCUGAUCCAGCGACGCCGCGUGAGUGAAGAAGUAUUUCGGUAUGUAAAGCUCUGUCAGCAGGGAAGAAAGAAAUGACGGUACCUGACCAAGAAGCCCCGGCUAACUACGUGCCAGCAGCCGCGGUAAUACGUAGGGGGCAAGCGUUAUCCGGAAUUACUGGGUGGAAAGGGAGCGUAGACGGUUAAGUAAGUCUGGAGUGAAAGGCCGGGGCCCAACCCCGGGACUGCUCUGGAAACUAUUGAACUUGAGUGCAGGGGAGGUAAGCGGAAUUCCUAGUGUAGCGGUGGAAUGCGUAGAUAUUAGGAGGAACACCAGUGGCGAAGGCGGCUUACUGGACUGUAACUGACGUUGAGGCUCGAAAGCGUGGGGAGCAAACAGGAUUAGAUACCCGGGUAGUC
rnacentral:rRNA from 1 species